CUGGUCACAGACUUUAAAAUGAUAUACAGGAUAUGGGGUUACAUUGUGUUAAUGUUGAGUUAUUAUGUAAAAUGUUGAGCUGGAUAAAAGCUAUUGUGUUAAUUGUAUUAUGUAAAAGCUAUUGUGCCAUGUGUCUUGGUGUCCAGCAGGAAAUUAAGUUAUCCUAUUUAGGCUUGAUUAGAAGAUUGUGCUUGUCCCAUUCUAAAUGUGAUAGAUGUGAGGCUUGAGUAUUGAUCUGUGG